GCCCUGAUAGCUCAGCUGGAUAGAGCAUCCGCCUCCUAAGCGGAAGGUCGACGGUUCGAAUCCGCCUCAGGGUGCCA
rnacentral:tRNA from 1 species